CUGGGCGUAAGCGCACGCAGGCGGUCAAUUAAGUCAGAUGUGAAAGCCCCGAGCUUAACUUGGGAAUUGCAUCUGAAACUGGUUGGCUAGAGUCUUGUAGAGGGGGGUAGAAUUCCAUGUGUAGCGGUGAAAUGCGUAGAGAUGUGGAGGAAUACCGGUGGCGAAGGCGGCCCCCUGGACAAAGACUGACGCUCAGGUGCGAAAGCGUGGGGAGCAAACAGGAUUAGAUAC
rnacentral:rRNA from 1 species